UAGUAAACCGAGAAGGGUUGAAGUAGUAAGUUGUUCCCUGUUUCAGAAAGCUGACGGUCGCUGUGAGUCAGUACAGAGCAAAUUACGAAUUACGUCCUGGAGUUUUCUUCUGAUGAUUUCAGAAGACGGGUGAAUCCGUUAUAAAUUCCUUGAGUGGUAAUCAGUUUGUCUGGUUACAACAAGGGUGGUACCGCGAGCGAGCCUCGUCCCUUUU
rnacentral:ncRNA from 1 species